rnacentral:rRNA from 1 species
GAUGAACGCUGGCGGCGUGCCUAACACAUGCAAGUCGAGCGAAAAGACGCGGAGCGUGGUCGACGGACGUUAGAGGGGGGCGGGGGAGUAAGGAGUGGGUAACCUACCUGUAAGUAUGGGAUAGCAUCGGGAAACCGGAGCGCAUACGGGAUGAUAUAUUGAACCGGAUGGCUCGCUAGAGAAUGUCGGCUUUGGCGUCUCUUAUGGCCGGUUCCGCGCCGCAGUAGCUAGUUGGUAAGGUAACGGCUUACCAAGGCGACGAUGCGUAGCCGACCUGAGAGGGUGAUCGGCCACACUGGAACUGAGACACGGUCCAGACUCCUACGGGAGGCAGCAGUAGGGAAUCUUCCGCAAUGGGCGAAAGCCUGACGGAGCAACGCCGCGUGAGGGAAGAAGGUCUUCGGGUCGUAAACCUCUGUUAUUCGGGAAGAACAAAUGUGGGAUUAACUAUGCACGUCUUGACGGUACCUAAACAGAAAGCCCCGGCUAACUACGUG